rnacentral:rRNA from 1 species
UACGGGGGGGGGCAAGCGUUGUUCGGAAUUACUGGGCGUAAAGGGCUCGUAGGCGGCCAACUAAGUCCGACGUGAAAUCCCAAGGCUUAACCUUGGAACUGCGUCGGAUACUGGAUGGCUUGAAUUCGGGAGAGGGAUGCAGAAUUCCAGGUGUAGCGGUGAAAUGCGUAGAUAUCUGGAGGAACACCAAUGGCGAAGGCAGCACUCUGGGACGUGACUGACGCUGAGACGCGAAAGCGUGGGGAGCAAACAGG